UUGUAAAAUUAAAAAAUUUAUAUUGGAACUUCUUUUUCUUUUAACAUUCAUGUUUAUUUAUUUAUACUAUCUUAGAAUUUGCUGCUUUAAAGGCAUGGCAUUUAGUGUCACAUUGUAGGUUUAAAUUGGUUGUAGAAUUUAUAUUGUAACUUGCAUAUUUAUUUAGUUGAGUUUAAUCUAAGUUUAUAUCUGAUGUGUUUGUAUUAUUUUAGAAUUUACUGUUUUAGACACGUGGCAUGUGGUAUCCCACUGAGUUGACAGCAUGGUGUCCUAUUUAAAGUGCGAACAUGUGUACAAGUAACAACAGUAUUCAAAGCCAAAACCUAUUUACCCCAACCAAACCAAAAACUAGCGACCAAAAACUAUCUUGGCAUUGGUUUAUUUUAAACAUCUAUUAUAUAUAUGUGUGUUUUUUAUAUAAAUGUACUAGCUUGAGUAUAGUGUAUUAAA